ensembl:lncRNA
UUUAUGAGUCAUACAUGAAGCAUACCAAAAUAACAUUAAAAUCACCAACAAAGAGACACGUUGCACUGCAAAAAAUGCAAAUCUGUGAGCAGACUUUACAGCUAAUCUGUUGUUGUGCAGGUGGAUUAUAAUGUUUGUACCUCGCAGCCAUCUCCUUCUGUCAAAGUCAUGUGUUAUGCACACUCAGGCGUGUAGUCAAGGUCCAUGUCACAAUCAGAACUCCCCCGGGAUUUCCUUGCUUGUUUCUGGGCAGUUGGGGAAACCCGGAGAGCCGUGACUCGGUGGGCUGUGAGAGUGUGGGAAGAAUGACGGGAUGUAGGGGAUGGCAGCCAGCAGCAGCGGACUGGUCUGGGGGCUUUCGUCGCGAGAUAGAGGAAUGACCACAUCGUCCUGGUCCCACACGUGGAAGGCAUUGUGAGCGAACGGAUGCGCCGAGGGGGGAUGGCUGCCCAUACGUUGGGGAUCAUCAUCGUCUUUGUCUUCAUCUCCAGGUGGACCGAGCAAACACUCUAAAGAAGGAAGACACGGCUUAGCAAAGGAGUAUUCACAACAAACUGAAAGCUGUGAAAAAGCAGGCAAAUUGACCAAAGGUGAUGCAUUAAUGGCGAAAACUGACAGAUAACUGAGGUUUGUGUUGAAAAGAAAGCUUGAAUUCCUGAACAGUCUGGCUGAAAGUGAUGCACAAGUGUUUCAAUUUAAGCCUUUGUAGUACUAAAGCUAAACUAAAGCUACCAAGCACUGACUGUCCCCAUUUUAUUGGCAUGUUUAUUAACAUAUAGAGCAAAAAUAACCUCUGCUUUGAGUGCAGAUGAACUCAUUUGGAUCACAGUGGUGUUAAAAGUACAUGCAUCAGUACUCAGUGUAUCCUCACUGCUGCUGCAUCCCUGUUAUUGUACUCUCAGAGCUGUAAUCCAAACAGAGGAGUACCAAACAGAAGACCCCGGUGCCAGAACUGGCCACCAAUUUUAGACUUGUAACUGUAUUUUCUCUGGUUGUACAGCUUUUACUACUGGUGAAGUUCUCCCCUAUUGCCAUUCAUUCUCCACCACAGUAAUAAAGAUGAAUAAUUAAAAACACAAAGUUCCUGUUUUUUCACAAUCUACUGUUGAAAUGUAGUAUUUUACACUGGGCUCACAAUUUUAAAAAAGACAUUCUGUCAAUUAACAAAUAAAGUUCAGUUUUAUAAUUUCAGCACAGUCUGCACAAUGAGCUAACAGAACCAUUUCUGUAAUUUUACAUAUUUGGUUCUUACAAUUUAAGCCCAGAGCAGCAUUUCUUUAUCAUGUGGAUAAAAAGUGAGCUGUAAAAUUGCACUUCUUUCAUUAAAAUAUCUCAAGCAUUAA